GAAGCCACGGCUAACUACGUGCCAGCAGCCGCGGUAAUACGUAGGUGGCAAGCGUUGUCCGGAAUUACUGGGUGUAAAGGGAGCGCAGGCGGGUUUGCAAGUUGGAUGUUUAAUCGAGGGGCUCAACCCCUUUCCGCAUUCAAAACUGUAGAUCUUGAGUGGUGCAGAGGUAGGCGGAAUUCCCGGUGUAGCGGUGGAAUGCGUAGAUAUCGGGAGGAACACCAGUGGCGAAGGCGGCCUACUGGGCACUAACUGACGCUGAGGCUCGAAAGCUAGGGGAGCGAAUGGGAUUAGAUACCCCAGUAGUC
rnacentral:rRNA from 1 species